rnacentral:rRNA from 1 species
UUCGCAAUGCCCGAAAGGGUGAACGAGCGACGCCGCGUGCGGGAUGAAGGCCUUCGGGUCGUAAACCGCUUUUGUAAGGGAAAAACUUAAUGAUGGUACCUUACGAAUAAGAGGUUACUAACUCUGUGCCAGCAGUAGCGGUAAUACAGAGACCUCAAGCGUUAUCCGGAUUUAUUGGGCGUAAAGCGCGUGUAGGCGGGCGGGGACGUCGGCGACUGAAAGCCCCCGGCUCAACCGGGGAAGCGGCGCCGAAACGCCCCGCCUCGAGGGACGUAGGGGGACCUGGAACUUCCGGUGGAGCGGUGAAAUGCGUUGAGAUCGGAAGGAACGCCCGUGGCGAAAGCGAGGUCCUGGACGUCAAGCUGACGCUGAGACGCGAAAGCUAGGGGAGCGAACGGGAUUAGAUACCCCGGUAGUCCUAGCCGUAAACGAUGGGCACUAAGUAGAGGGGUUUU